AAUUUUUUGUCACUCGGAAUAGAUUGUCAAACAGGCAUAGACAAAUUCUUAAAAUGUGUAAAGUUUCCAGAAGGGUGAAUGCUCUUAUUAUUCUCGGUUUUAUAGCCUUGGUUGUCCCUCUGGUCGCUCUCUUCAGUCAAGAUCAUACAACGCCGCGCGAAGCUUAUAAGCGUGUCGUGCAAUAUGGGAUCUUAUUUUUGUGGAUGGUUCUUCCGGUGCCAACCAUGUAUUUCAUCUAUAAGAAAAAGCGAUAUGUGAGAUUUUUGCUGCCAUGUGCUUUCAUAUGGUUAGUUCUAAGUUCUAUGAUUUUAAUUUUUUUCAUACUUAAUGGAAACAACACAUUCGAUUACAUUUACUUUUACGGAUCAAAUUAUUAUCUCUAUGGUAUAAUGGAUGUAUUAUUUUGGGAUUUAUCAUCCCAUUUUCAUUUUUUAUUUAUUAUAAACGGAAAAUGGCUGCGGAUGAAUAAUUGGCAAACACGAAGGAAGUGUAGGAGUUAAAAAAAAAUUUAGUAUUCAAGAGAGUUUAAUAAAAUUAAUUAUUUUACUUUAUGCAUA